GUAAGACUGGGAUAACUCCGGGAAACCGGAGCUAAUACCGGAUAGUUCCUUGAACCGCAUGGUUCAAGGAUGAAAGACGGUUUCGGCUGUCACUUACAGAUGGACCCGCGGCGCAUUAGCUAGUUGGUGAGGUAACGGCUCACCAAGGCGACGAUGCGUAGCCGACCUGAGAGGGUGAUCGGCCACACUGGGACUGAGACACGGCCCAGACUCCUACGGGAGGCAGCAGUAGGGAAUCUUCCGCAAUGGACGAAAGUCUGACGGAGCAACGCCGCGUGAGUGAUGAAGGUUUUCGGAUCGUAAAGCUCUGUUGUUAGGGAAGAACAAGUGCAAGAGUAACUGCUUGCACCUUGACGGUACCUAACCAGAAAGCCACGGCUAACUACGUGCCAGCAGCCGCGGUAAUACGUAGGUGGCAAGCGUUGUCCGGAAUUAUUGGGCGUAAAGGGCUCGCAGGCGGUUUCUUAAGUCUGAUGUGAAAGCCCCCGGCUCAACCGGGGAGGGUCAUUGGAAACUGGGAAACUUGAGUGCAGAAGAGGAGAGUGGAAUUCCACGUGUAGCGGUGAAAUGCGUAGAGAUGUGGAGGAACACCAGUGGCGAAGGCGACUCUCUGGUCUGUAACUGACGCUGAGGAGCGAAAGCGUGGGGAGCGAACAGGAUUAGAUACCCUGGUAGUCCACGCCGUAAACGAUGAGUGCU
rnacentral:rRNA from 1 species